GUCUAUGGCCAUACCACCCUGAAUGCGCCCGAUCUCGUCUGAUCUCGGAAGCUAAGCAGGGUCGGGCCUGGUUAGUACUUGGAUGGGAGACCAUUUCUUUCUUCAAAUGCUGCUGAAA
rnacentral:rRNA from 1 species